GGUUUAUCAAGUCUUGCCCAGGGGUGGAGUUAAGGCGUACCUACAGAAAUAAUAACUGACCACCUCCUUUGUUCCAGACCACUGUCAAUCCAAAUGGAAACAUUUGACUCUAUCUUCUUUUUUGUACCUGCCACAGAAAUAAUAAUUGCAUCUACAUAUUUGUUAUUAUUUUCCCAUUCCAUAGACAUGUUGCACGUCCCACCCACGAUCCAAUAGGAUGGACAUCACAAUUCCUUUCCCUAGGGUCAAGUUAGG
rnacentral:lncRNA from 1 species